rnacentral:rRNA from 1 species
AUUGAACGCUGGCGGCAGGCCUAACACAUGCAAGUCGAACGAGUGGCGGACGGGUGAGUACUGUCUGGGAAACUGCCUGAUGGAGGGGGAUAACUACUGGCAACGGUAGCUAAUACCGCAUACCAUCAGAUGUGCCCAGAUGGGAUUAGCUCGUUGGUGGGGUACCGGCUCAACAAGGCGACCAUCCCUAGCUGGUCUGAGAGGAUGACCAGCCACACGGGAGCGGAGAAGCGGUCCAAACUCGGACGUGAGGCAGCAGUGGGGAAUAUUACACAAUGGGCGCAAGCCAAAUGCAGCCAUGCCGCGUGUAUGAAAAAGGCCUUCGGGUUGUAAAGUACUUUCAGCGGGGAGGCGUUACCCGCAGAAGAAGCACCGGCUAACUCCGUGCCAGCAGCCGCGGUAAUAC